rnacentral:snRNA from 1 species
AUCCUCUCGGGCCUCUUGGUUACGAUUAAGAGUAGUAUCUGUUCUUUAUAGUUUAACAACUAAAAUGCCAUACUUGUAUGGCUGCUUUUUUUUCUAGGUUAUUUACGCCUAGAUCUAUGGGCUCUGACUUGCUACCUCAUGAAUCCAUUAAUAUCUCCU